rnacentral:rRNA from 1 species
AUUGAACGCUGGCGGCAGGCCUAACACAUGCAAGUCGAACGAGUGGCGGACGGGUGAGUAAUGUCUGGUCAACUGCCUGAUGGAGGGGGAUAACUAAUGGCCACCGUAGCCAAUUACCCAUUCCAUCAGAUGUACCCAGAGGGGAUUAGGUAGUUGGUGGGGUAACGGCUCACCAAGGAGACGAUCCGUAGCUGGUCGGAGAGUAUGACCAGCCACACUGGAAUUGGGACACGGUCAAGAGUCCGACGGGAGGCAGCAGUGGGGAAUAUUGGACAAUGGGCGAAAGCCUGCGGCAGACAUGCCGCGGGUAGGAAGAAGGCCUGCGGGUUGUAAAGUACUUUCAGCGGGGAGGCGUUACCCGCAGAAGAAGCACCGGCUAACUCCGUGCCAGCAGCCGCGGUAAUUC